rfam:Schistosoma mattheei strain Denwood, Zambia genome assembly, scaffold: SMTD_scaffold0019417
AUCCAGCUGACGAGUUGCAAAUAGGACGAAACGCGCGUUCUCGAU